rnacentral:rRNA from 1 species
UACGAAGGGGGCUAGCGUUGCUCGGAAUGACUGGGCGUAAAGGGCGCGUAGGCGGAUGUUACAGUCGGGUGUGAAAUUCCUGGGCUCAACCUGGGGGCUGCACCCGAGACGUGACGUCUAGAGUGUGAAAGAGGGUCGUGGAAUUCCCAGUGUAGAGGUGAAAUUCGUAGAUAUUGGGAAGAACACCGGUGGCGAAGGCGGCGACCUGGUUCAUGACUGACGCUGAGGCGCGAAAGCGUGGGGAGCAAACAGG